UGCCAGCCGCCGCGGUAAUACGGAGGGUGCAAGCGUUAUCCGGAAUCACUGGGUUUAAAGGGUGCGUAGGCGGCUUUGUAAGUCAGAUGUGAAAGCUUCCCGCUUAACGGGAAAACUGCAUUUGAUACUGCAAGGCUUGAAUCAGGCUGAGGUCAGCGGAAUGUGUCAUGUAGCGGUGAAAUGCAUAGAUAUGACAUAGAACACCAAUUGCGAAGGCAGCUGGCUAGACCUGCAUUGACGCUGAGGCACGAAAGCGUGGGGAGCGAACAGGAUUAGAUA
rnacentral:rRNA from 1 species